rnacentral:rRNA from 1 species
CUACGGGCUGCUGCAGUGAGGAAUAUUGGACAAUGGGCGAGAGCCUGAUCCAGCCAUGCCGCGUGCAGGAAGACUGCCCUAUGGGUUGUAAACUGCUUUUAUACAGGAAGAAUAAGCCUUACGUGUAAGGUGAUGACGGUACUGUAAGAAUAAGGACCGGCUAACUCCGUGCCAGCAGCCGCGGUAAUACGGAGGGUCCGAGCGUUAUCCGGAAUUAUUGGGUUUAAAGGGUCCGUAGGCGGAUGAUUAAGUCAGGGGUGAAAGUUUGCAGCUCAACUGUAAAAUUGCCUUUGAUACUGGUUAUCUUGAGUUGUAUUGAAGUAGGCGGAAUAUGUAGUGUAGCGGUGAAAUGCAUAGAUAUUACAUAGAACACCAAUUGCGAAGGCAGCUUACUAAGUACUAACUGACGCUGAUGGACGAAAGCGUGGGUAGCGAACAGGAUUAGAUACCCGGGUAGUC